AAGUCGUAACAAGGUUUCCGUAGGUGAACCUGCGGAAGGAUCAUUACCAAAUCCAAAUCCCUUUAACCCCAUGUGAACUAUUGUUUAAUGUUUUUUGUCUUUUGGGAGGGAGCUUUAUAGUGCAAAAGAGAAUUAAAAAGCUUUUUUUAACACUAUUUUCCUCCCAAAAGAAAGUAAUUAGAAAUAAAUUUCCUUUCUAAGGAUUUUUACUUCUAAUUUUAAAAACAACUUUUAAAAAAUUAUUUGGAAUUUUUUAUAAUAAAAAUUAUAAUAAAAAACAACUUUUAACGGUGGAUCUCUUGGCUCGU
rnacentral:misc_RNA from 1 species